ACGUAGGGUGCAAGCGUUAAUCGGAAUUACUGGGCGUAAAGCGUGCGCAGGCGGUUCGGAAAGAAGGAUGUGAAAUCCCAGGGCUCAACCUUGGAACUGCAUUCUUAACUACCGAACUAGAGUAUGUCAGAGGGGGGUAGAAUUCCGCGUGUAGCGGUGAAAUGCGUAGAUAUGCGGAGGAAUACCGAUGGCGAAGGCAGCCCCCUGGGAUAAUACUGACGCUCAUGCGCGAAAGCGUGGGGAGCAAACAG
rnacentral:rRNA from 1 species